ACUAAGAAACAAAAAAACUGGGAAUGUGCUAUUGGCAAUUGGACUUAAUGUCUUUUUAGGACUCAUUUCAAGCCAGAAUUCUAGGCUUCUCUUGAAAGCUAGAUGACCCUCUUCAACAUCAUCACCACCAUCUUCACAUGCAUCCCUUCACCUUCACUGGCAACAACAUUACCACCAUCACAGGCCAUGGAGUAGUAACUCAACUGAUGGAUGUAAAGUGGGAGGUGGCCAUUUUUUUCUGCAAAGGGCCAGCCCUUCUCCUUCACACUAAAAAGAGGUCACGUGAGCACACAGUGAGACGGCGGCUGUCUGCAAGCCAGGAAGAAAGGCCUCACCAGCACCUGACCAUGCUGACUCCUUGAUCUCAGAUGUCUAGCCUCCAGAGCCAGGAGAAAAUAAAUUUGUGUGAU